rnacentral:tRNA from 1 species
GCCUUGGUGGUCUAAUGGUUUAAGAUGCUCGUACGGAAUACAAAAGAUCCGGGUUCAAGUCCUAGUCGAGGUA